ACGGGGUGCAGCAGGCGCGAAACCUCCGCAAAUAGGAUGUGCAGAGGAUCUUGAGCCCCUGCACAUCCUAGCGGAAUGCGGGAAACCGUGACGGGGUCACCCCGAGUGCCCCGAAGAGGGGCUUUUCCCCGCUGUAAGAAGGCGGGGGAAUAAGCGGGGGGCAAGUCUGGUGUCAGCCGCCGCGGUAAUACCAGCCCCGCGAGUGGUCGGGACGAUUAUUGGGCCUAAAGCGGCCGUAGCCGGCCCGGUAAGUCCCCGCUGAAAUCCUCGGGCUCAACCCGAGGGCGGGCGGGGAUACUGCCGGGCUAGAGGGCGGGAGAGGCCGGGGGUAGUCCCGGGGUAGGGGCGAAAUCCGAUAAUCCCGGGAGGACCACCAGUGGCGAAGGCGCCCGGCUGGAACGCGCCUGACGGUGAGGGCCGAAAGCCGGGGGAGCGAACCGGAUUAGAUACCCGGGUAGUCCCGGCUGUAAACGAUGCGGGCUAGGUGUUGGGCGGACUUAGAGUCCGCCCAGUGCCGCAGGGAAGCCGUUAAGCCCGCCGCCUGGGGAGUAC
rnacentral:rRNA from 1 species